rnacentral:lncRNA from 1 species
GUUAACUAUGGGUUUUUCAUGUUUUAGCUGGUUGAUGGCGUUCCCUUCUCUUCCUAACUUCUAGAAUCUUCUGAUCCGUAGUCAGACAUGUUAUCCAUUGAGCCACUGGGCCCCACUCAUCUUCCUAAAUUCUUGUGAGUUUUUAUCAUGACAAGAUAAUGGAUUUUGAUAAUUUUUUUCUUUUGAGAUGAUUAUGUUGUUUUUCCUUUCUUCUUUCUCCUAGGAUUGGCAAACACAAAUCAUGUUCCAAGUUCUGCCUUCCACCUGAGUGAAAUACAUCACCGCUUUCCCUGCUCCCGCCGCCAUUAAAAUUGUGUUUGGCAUCUGACCACCAAGAUACAGAUAUUUCCUAGACUGUUUUGCAGCUAGGUACUUAGAAGUUUUUCUAAGUUAUUUAAACUUCUCACCACACAAAAUCUGGAUUUGUAUCUGUCACGUAGUAAUUGCUUGAUAAAUCAUUUCUCUUUCCUCUGGAGAAAAAUAUCUGCUUUCUUUAAAAUAAAUGUUCCAUCCAUGCAGCUAAGCAGCUAAGGACACGAACAGCCACUGAUACAGGCCAACUCAUCAGUAGAUUAUUGAGGAAUCAUUCUCUUCAGUCAGAUCACGAUUUGAGUUUGAACUAACCAGAGAGUAGCAGAAGGAACGUUUUCUCAUUUCCAUGUCCAGAAAGAUAUAUUCCUGCUACCCUCCUGAAGUCAGAGGAUGAAAUCAUAGUCAAUACAUCUUUGCAGAUAAACUAUUAGAUUUCAUACUAGGACCUUUCAUUGGCUGAACAAAGACAAAGACAGAAAUCAAGGAAGGUCAAAGAAGCAGUCAGUUUUCUGGCACCCAAAGUUGUUGGAGAAGGGUACAGAGUCGGUAAAUAAGUCAUAUGACAGACAGGCAGUAUUUUCUUAUUUUAAUAACAAGUUUAAAAAUCCCACUUCUUGUACUUACCUUCUGUCUGACGUCAUCAGUAUUUUAAAAUGCCAACUGGGAUCAAGUUCAACACUGCAUUACUGAAGAAUCCAGAUUAUCUACAUUUCAAGUGCCAAAUGAAAGAAAGAACCCAGAAAAUAAAACAAUAUGAUGAUAACAGUAAAAUUUUUUAAAAUGAAAUUUAUGGUCUAAAUCCUGAUCAUUAAUGGUUAUUUCAUAUUGAAGCAAUGAGGCCUGUUCUUCAUUCUGAACAUAGGGUAAAGGUGAAAUCUUUUCACAUAUUUAUUUAUUUAGCCAAUUUAUACAUAUAGUGAAUUUUAAUUAUAACUUAAUAGUAUGCCUCCUUAUUAUGCAUAUAAUUGGGCCUAUCUGAAUUUUCUUUGGAAUUGUGCCUCCAAUUUACCAUAUUUUUUUAGGCAACUCUAUUUUAAUUACUAGUUGAAUAUGAUGGGUAAAUUUUAUUGUUCUCUCUUUUGAUUUUGAAAAAAAGAGGGAAACCUUAACUUCUCAGAUUUCUGAGAAAAAUAGAGCUCAUGAAAACACACACACAAUCACACACAUGUCUUCAAUAUCUUUGCAAAGAUACUGGAAAGGGGAAAAGUUCUGUUUCCUUCUUUCAUGAGUAUCAUAAAUUUCAGUAAAAGAGAAAAUUUGAGCAUUUCCCAAGGUAAUCAUCUUUCUGCCAGCCAUCAUACUAUUACUUCGUAAAAUCUUUGCCAUCCCACUCUAUUUUCUACCUUCUCAUUCUUAAAAUUUCCAAAGCUUCACCAAAUCCUCAUUCUCUGUUGAUGGCCUACCCCCAUGGUUCAAUAAGAAAACAAGCACUAUUUUGCUAAUAUAUCUGGGCGGAUACAAAAUACAAAAUAAUAUUAUGCCACCAUACCAGACUGGAAUCAUAGCUUUGUUUACCUGUGUACUUAAUUUUAAAGAUAGAAAAUAGUGGAACAUAAUUGUUUGCUAAAGAUCACACUUGAAUAGAAAAGAGAUGGUAAAAGAAGAAACUUGAUUCUAUCAAGAUUAGUUUUUAAAAGAAUGAUAAACAUUCCAUCCAUUGCAAUAGUUAAAACCAUAAAGAGUGUGCAGAUGUAGACUAAGGUACUUUUAUGUAUUUAGGGUUUUACAUUAAUGAUUUACCUCCUAAUGACCUCUAGGUGACCACAGUCAAUGGUUACAUCUGUAUUAUUAUCUUACUCAACUUCAAGCAUCUUUGACCAACUUGGUUUCUCCCAACUUCUUUAUUCUUCUUUACUUGUGUUCUUUACGUGCCUUUCCUUAUACCAGUCUCCUGAUCAGGGAGGAUAUUUAGAAAGAGUGGAAAAGUGAGGGAAUGGACAAGAGAUACAGUUUCCCUACCAAAUCUACCUAAAUUAGGAAUCCAUGUCCUAAACUAACAGUAUUAUUUCUUCACAGAGCAUUUUAUUUCUCUCAUAACUUUUUUCAAGUUCACAUGUAUUUAUUAGUUAUUGUCUGUGUGUUCAACUAAAUUUUAUCAAGAGGGUCCAAGAAUAGUGUUCAAAGCUAUAUUCAAGUAUACAAUACAGUGUCUGGCAAGAGUGGAUGCUCAACCAAUAAUUCUAAAGUAAAUCAAUGAAUGUAACAUGGUUCAGGCCAAGGAAUGAAAAUAAACCAGAAGAAAUGGAUGGGUAGAACAGGAGCAGGUAUAGUAAGUUAAACUUGAAAAAAACAGUUAACUUACAAGUUAAACAUGAAAAAACCAGUUAAAUCCAUGAUAAGAAGAGAGGGUCAGACAAGUCUCAUUAAACUCUCCUCUCUUUGGAAUUCAGACACAACUAACCAGCAUUAACAUUAAAAAAGAUAUCUUAUAACAGACAAAACAAACUCUUUGUAGCAGUAAGAUAUCAAAUUCCAACCUGCCUCUAGUAUAACAUCAUAUGACAGAGACCAAGCCCUGAAAGAAAAUGAAGUAUUUUACCCAAGAUAUAUUUUAUGACAUAUUUUGAUAUGGCCUCACAAAGCUGUCUCUUGUAGGGAAAAUCUACAUUCUGUAGAAAAAUCAGAUUCGUUUUCCUGGUUUUUUCCUCGUCCAGGAGAGAUUUAAUUAAGAGUCUGGAGCACCUUUUAGAGUCUGAUAAGAGACAUUUAUCAUUUAUUCUAUCUAAUGCCUGCUACCUGGAGGCUUCAUCUACACAACAAGACCCCUGGCUUCCACAAGCCCCCUUAUCUUAACAAUAAACAUUUCUUUCUGCUAACUUCACUCCUUCAGGUAGAGUUUAACCCUUUCAACCAAUUAUAAUUCAGGAAAUCUUUAAAUCCAUCUAUAAGGUGGAAGCCCCCCACAUCACUACUUUGAGAUGUCCUGCCUUUAUGGGAUGAACCAAUGUAUAUCUUACAUACAUUCAUUUAUGUCUCUGCCUGUAACUUCUGUCCCCCUAAAAUGUUUAAAAAAAAAUGUAACCCAACUGCCUUGGGCACAUGUUCUCAGGGUCUCCUGGGGCUAUAUCAUGGGUCAUGGAUCUUACAUUUAUCUCAGAAUAAAUAUCUUCAAAUAUUUUACAGAAUGUGACUCUUUUGUUGACAUAAGUUACAUUCCCUGAAGAUCUAAAAUUGUCACCACAUAGGAACUCUUUCAUUUAGCUUAUAUAAAUCAGGCAAAGUCUAGAAAUCAUAACCAGGUGAAAAUUAUACAAUUGCACUGCUCUACCUUUGUUAGCUAAUACUGACUUUACCUCUUUUUUUUUUCCUUUUAUCAUUUUGCUGUUUCUCACACUCUACCCUGGUUCUGUGCUUAAUUACUCAUUCUUGGACAUUCAUAAGAGCUCAUUCUUUCUACAUUUUUCAUCUGAUAUUGUUACAGUGGGUAGAGCAGGAAAGGGAUCCCCAGCCCCCAACCAGAAAUGUCAACUGACCAUCAGGUGAUGAUCAGGUGGUUGUUACAUUGUUUCU